AUCGCUUCUCGGCCUUUUGGCUAAGAUCAAGUGUAGGAUAUACUAUGAAAUACCACUUCCUUCAGUGAAGGCUAAGGGGAAAUUAUUUUGAAAUCAAAUUAAAAUUUGAAUUUUCUCAAGAUCAGUACUAAUAGUUUAGGUAAGUGUUUAAAACAUACACUAU
ensembl:snRNA U2 U2 spliceosomal RNA